GCUGUGGAGAGCAAAAACAAAGACGAGUAGAUAUUUUUAUCAAAAGUAUGUUCGUUGAAGCAGCAA
ncrna:unclassified sequences RAGATH-18 RNA